rnacentral:lncRNA from 1 species
GGGCACAAAUGUUAUCAAUUAUAUGAAGAUAUUUGUUAUGUAUUUACUUCUAUUUUAGAAAGAGCCUAUUAAAAUGAGACGUCCAAUAAAGAAAUAUGGCCUAUUAGUGUCAGACGGAUGAAGCAUAAUAUACGAAACUGAUUUUUUUUUUUUUUGUAAUGUAUGAAAAGGAGUUCUAAUGUAAACAUUUUUUUCAUCAAAUUUUUUCUCUCCUCUCCUCUUCUCUUUUUUUUUUGAUUUUUUUUAAUUGUCAACUUUGAUUCAUGAAAAAAAUAUUCAAC